GACGAACGCUGGCGGCGUGCUUAACACAUGCAAGUCGAACGGAAAGGCGCUGCUCUUGUGGGUCUCUCGAUUGCCGAACGGGUGUGUAUCACGUGAGUAACCUCCCCUUGACUUUCUGAUAACUUCUCGGAACUGGGGCUCUUAUCGGAUAUGAGCUCCUGCUCCAUGUUGGUGGAUGGAAAGUUUCGGCGGUUGGGGAUGGACUCGAUGCUUAUCCGCUUGUUUGUGGGGUUGUGGCUUACCAGGGCUGCGACGGCUAGGCGGCCUGAGAGGCUGAACGGCGACAUGGGGACUGAGAUACGGCGCAGAAUCGUACGGGAGGCAGCAGUGGGGAAUAUGACACAAUGGGCGGGAGCCUGAUGCAGAAACGCCGCGUGCGGGAUGACGGCCUAUGAGUUGUAAACCGAUUUCGAAUGUAACGAAGAGUGAGUGACGGUAAUGGGUAAAGAAGCACCGGCUAACUACGUG
rnacentral:rRNA from 1 species